GAGCCGCAAAUUCGCAGGUAGACGCCCUGAACCCCUGAGCCCUUUCGAGAUCGCCGCGAGUUGACCCGCGGACUUUUAAUCCGUAGGUUCUGGGUUCGAGCCCCAGGCGGCCCACCA
rnacentral:tRNA from 1 species